GACGAACGCUGGCGGCGUGCUUAACACAUGCAAGUCGGACGCAUCCUUCGGGGUGAGUGGCAGACGGGUGAGUAACGCGUGGGAACGUGCCCUUCAGUUCGGGAUAACCCAGGGAAACUUGGGCUAAUACCGGAUACGUGCGAGAGCAGAAAGAUUUAUCGCUGAAGGAUCGGCCCGCGUCUGAUUAGCUAGUUGGUGGGGUAAUGGCCCACCAAGGCGACGAUCAGUAGCUGGUCUGAGAGGAUGAUCAGCCACAUUGGGACUGAGACCCGGCCCAAACUCCUACGGGAGGCAGCAGUGGGGAAUAUUGGACAAUGGGCGCAAGCCUGAUCCAGCCAUGCCGCGUGAGUGAUGAAGGCCUUAGGGUUGUAAAGCUCUUUCGUCCGGGACGAUAAUGACGGUACCGGAAGAAGAAGCCCCGGCUAUCUUCGUGCCAGCAGCCGCCGUAA
rnacentral:rRNA from 1 species